UACAGAGGUCUCAAGCGUUGUUCGGAUUCAUUGGGCGUAAAGGGCGCGUAGGCGGCGGGGUAAGUCGGGUGUGAAAUCUCAGAGCUCAACUCUGAAAUGGCACUUGAUACUGCUCUGCUAGAGGACUGGAGAGGAGAUUGGAAUUCACGGUGUAGCAGUGAAAUGCGUAGAUAUCGUGAGGAAGACCGGUGGCGAAGGCGGGUCUCUGGACAGUUCCUGACGCUGAGGCACGAAGGCCAGGGGAGCAAACGGG
rnacentral:rRNA from 1 species